rnacentral:lncRNA from 1 species
CCAUAAUUAAUAACUCAAAUUCAAAUAUUUGGGAUCUAACAACAAAAACAAAUCUAUAAUUCAAAAUUCAAAUCAAAAAGAGGAAAAACAAAAAAAGUAUUUUCUCGUCAUCUUGCUCCCUCGUCAUCUUCCUCCUCCGCCGCCACGCCCGUAGUUUUCGUUGCGCCCAGUUAUUAACAUGCCUCUCUGUCUUUCUCUCUCUCUUCAUCGCCCAAAUUAUAUUGGUCAGUCAGUGGCCACUGUCUGGUAAAAAUAGAGACCUUUGAUACAAUCAAUAAUCAGUACUACAACUUAAUUUAUUCUUUAAGAAGAGAAGAUAGGAGGAGUAAUACUACUACUACUAGUUGUUUUCUUUCUUCGAAUAAUGGGCUCAGUAUCCACAUAAACAGUUGCAGCGCGGGCGAUGUAAACGAGGGGAUAGGAGGAGGGAAUUACAAGGAACAUACUUAGCUGCACGAGCGAGCCUGGUUUUCUGGUUGUUCAGCCUUUUGAUUCUACAAAAUAUAAAAAGAACCGAGAAGUAGGGAAUUAGAACUGAGAACUAAUUUUUUUUUUUUACGAUUUGGUUACCCAUAAAAAUAAAAUGGUUACAUUUGUAUGAAGGUUUGGUUACCAACUGCAUCACAUUCAAAAUAAAUUGGUAACCUAAUAAAACUGAAUUGGUUACCUUGGUCUCAAGGUUUGACAACCAACUACACUAUGAAAAAAUUGCAGGUGUGGAAGUGGAUUGGUUACCUUUGUACGAGGGUUUAGUUACUUUGGUAUGAAAGUUUGGUCAUCAACUGCACUAUGAAGGUAACCUAAUAAAAUUGAAUUGGUAACUUAAUAAAACUGAAUUGGUUACCUUGGUAUGAAAGUUUGGGUACCUUGGUAUGAAGGUUUGGUUACCAACUACACUAUGAAGGUAACCUAAUAAAACUGAAUUGGUUACCUUGGUAUGAAGGUUUGACUACCAAUUGCAUGAAAGUUUAGCUAUCAACUGCAUCAUAUUCAAAAUAAAUUGCUAACCUAAUAAAACUGAAUUGGUUACCUUUGUACGAAGGUUUGAUUACCAACUGCACUAUGAAAAAACUGCUGGUGUGGAUGUGAAUUGGUUACCUUGGUAUGAAGGUUUGGUUACUUUGGUAUGAAGGUUUGAUUACCAACUGCAUUAUGAAAAAACUGUAGGCGUGGAGGUGGAU